GGGAUAGGCCCUGUUACCCUGUGUAUUGGAUAAAGAGACCCUAUCAGCUGCCUUUUCUUUGAGUUAUGCCAUCACUGCCCAACGCCCACUGCUGGAAUUUCAGACACAACAGUCAGCUUGGUGUCCCCAGCCCACUUCCUGAGGAAUUUGGGGAGAGUGAAAAUAAAACAGGCCAGUGGAUGAUAACUUUCAAAAGGAGCAUCUUCUGAAAAACAACCACAAGAAAUAUACCCCCAAAAUAUCACAAGAUCACAAGAUAACAAAAGGUUCUCUUUCUAUAAAGCCUAAAUGACUAUUACAUUGCAGCUGUUGAUGCUGAGUAAUAAUAAAAAACUUCCAGUUUCCGAUGAGAGCAAAGAUUCAUAUCUGUCAUGUUUUCAAAUAACUGUUGUCCUCCCUUUCCUUUUAAUAA